rnacentral:rRNA from 1 species
UACGUAGGGGCCUAGCGUUGUCCGGAUUUAUUGGGCGUAAAGAGCUCGUAGGCGGUUUGUCGCGUCUGCUGUGAAAACUGGGGGCUCAACCCCCAGCCUGCAGUGGGUACGGGCAGACUAGAGUGCGGUAGGGGAGAUUGGAAUUCCUGGUGUAGCGGUGGAAUGCGCAGAUAUCAGGAGGAACACCGAUGGCGAAGGCAGAUCUCUGGGCCGUGAACUGACGCUGAGGAGCGAAAGCAUGGGGAGCGAACAGG